AGUGAACGCUGGCGGUAGGCCUAACACAUGCAAGUCGAACGGCAGCACAGUAAGAGCUUGCUCUUACGGGUGGCGAGUGGCGGACGGGUGAGGAAUACAUCGGAAUCUACUUUUUCGUGGGGGAUAACGUAGGGAAACUUACGCUAAUACCGCAUACGACCUACGGGUGAAAGCAGGGGAUCUUCGGACCUUGCGCGAUUGAAUGAGCCGAUGUCGGAUUAGCUAGUUGGCGGGGUAAAGGCCCACCAAGGCGACGAUCCGUAGCUGGUCUGAGAGGAUGAUCAGCCACACUGGAACUGAGACACGGUCCAGACUCCUACGGGAGGCAGCAGUGGGGAAUAUUGGACAAAGGGCGCAAGCCUGAUCCAGCCAUACCGCGUGGGUGAAGAAGGCCUUCGGGUCGUAAAGCCCUUUUGUUGGGAAAGAAAAGCAGCAGGUUAAUACCCCGCUGUUCUGACGGUACCCAAAGAAUAAGCACCGGCCAACUUCGUG
rnacentral:rRNA from 1 species